rnacentral:rRNA from 1 species
AGAGCGAACGCUGGCGGCAGGCCUAAAACAUGCAAGUCGAACGCCGUAGCAAUACGGAGUGGCAGACGGGUGAGUAACACGUGGGAACGUACCCUUUGGUUCGGAACAACACAGGGAAACUUGUGCUAAUACCGGAUAAGCCCUUACGGGGAAAGAUUUAUCGCCAAAGGAUCGGCCCGCGUCUGAUUAGCUAGUUGGUGGGUAACGGCCCACCAAGGCUACGAUCAGUAGCUGGUCUGAGAGGAUGAUCAGCCACACUGGGACUGAGACACGGCCCAGACUCCUACGGGAGGCAGCAGUUAGGAAUCUUGGACAAUGGGCGCAAGCCUGAUCCAGCCAUGCCGCGUGAGUGAUGAAGGCCUUAGGGUUGUAAAGCUCUUUCAGCGGGGAAGAUAAUGACGGUACCCGCAGAAGAAGCCCGGCUAACUUCGUGCCAGCAGCCGC